AAAUGCGAUAAGUAAUGUGUAUUGCAGAAUUCAGUGAAUCAUCGAAUCUUUGAACGCACCUUGCGCUCCUUGGUAUUCCUUGGAGCAUGCCUGUUUGAGUAUCAUGAAAUCUUCAAAGUAAAUCUUUUGUUAACUCAAUUGGUUUCUACUUUGGUAUUGGAGGUCUUUGCAGCUUCACACCUGCUCCUCUUUGUUCAUUAGCUGGAUCUCAGUGUUAUGCUUGGUUCCACUCGGCGUGAUAAGUUAUCUAUCGCUGAGGACACUGUAAAAGGUGGCCAAGGUAAAUGCAGAUGAACCGCUUCUAAUAGUCCAUUGACUUGAACAAUACUUUUAUGAUCUGAUCUCAAAUCAGGUAGGACUACCCGCUGAACUUAAGC
rnacentral:misc_RNA from 1 species